rnacentral:rRNA from 1 species
CCAGCCGUAAACAAUGUGCGUUAGGUGUGUCGGUAACCACGUGUUACUGAUGCGCCGAAGAGAAAUCGUGAAACGCACCACCUGGGAAGUACGGUCGCAAGGCUGAAACUUAAAGGAAUUGGCGGGGGAGCACCACAACAGGUGGAGCCUGCGGUUUAAUUGGAUUCAACGCCGGACAUCUCACCGGAUAAGACAGCGGAAUGAUUGCCGGGCUGAAGACUCUGCAUGACUAGCUGAGAGGUGGUGCGUGGCGUAGACGUCU